rnacentral:misc_RNA from 1 species
AACUUUCAGCAAUGGAUCUCUUGGCUCUCGCAUCGAUGAAGAACGCAGCGAAAUGCGAUAAGUAAUGUCAAUUGCAGAAUUGAGUGAAUCAUCGAAUCUUUGAACGCAUCUUGCGCUUCUUGGUAUUCCAAGGAGCAUGCCUGUUUGAGUGUCAUUAAAGUUCUCAAACCACAUCACGUGGCUCUUGGAUAUGGGGGUUGCAGGCUUUUCUUUAUAGUCGGCUCUCCUGAAAUGUAUUAGUGGUAUCUAUGCAGGGACUACAGGUGUGAUAAAUCACUUUAUGCCUUGUCCUCUUACUGUGCUGCUCAUAACGAGUUGGAUUGAUAAAUUUGACCUCAAAUCAGGUAGGACUACCCGCUGAACUUAAGCAUAUCAAUAAGCGGAGGCU